GUGGAUUAUAGACAGUUCCAUCUACUACAGUGCUGUCUCCCAUGGAGGAAGAAGAGGAUUGAUUUUCACAUAAGGAAAUAGAGGGUCUUAGAGAGAAAUUCCACCGGAGCAAGAGAGAUGUAGACCUGAAGGGAUCAAAAACUUUUUCACGAGGCCUCCCUUCAUUAGGGAGUGCGAAUAGAUAAUGAUUCAAUGGAGUGCCAGAAUCACAG
rnacentral:misc_RNA from 1 species